GAUGAACGCUGGCGGCGUGCCUAAUACAUGCCAGUCGAGCGAACAGAUGAGGAGCUUGCUCCUUUGACGUUAGCGGCGGACGGGUGAGUAACACGUAGGUAACCUACCUAUAAGACUGGGAUAACUUCGGGAAACCGGAGCUAAUACCGGAUAAUAUUUCGAACUGCAUGGUUCGAUAGUGAAAGAUGGCUUUGCUAUCACUUAUAGAUGGACCUGCGCCGUAUUAGCUAGUUGGUAAGGUAACGGCUUACCAAGGCAACGAUACGUAGCCGACCUGAGAGGGUGAUCGGCCACACUGGAACUGAGACAUGGUCCAGACUCCUACGGGAGGCAGCAGUAGGGAAUCUUCCGCAAUGGGCGAAAGCCUGACGGAGCAACGCCGCGUGAGGGAUGACGGCCUUCGGGUUGUAAACCUCUUUCAGCAGGGAAGAAGCGAAAGUGACGGUACCUGCAGAAGAAGCACCGGCUAACUACGUG
rnacentral:rRNA from 1 species